CCCUUAGAUGUCCGGGGCCGCACGCGCGCUACACUGAAGGAAUCAGCGUGGCUUUCUCCCUGACCCGAAAGGGUUGGGAAACCCGUUGAAUCUCCUUCGUGAUAGGGAUUGGGGCUUGAAAUUGUUCCCCAUGAUCGAGGAAUUCCCAGUAAGCGCGAGUCAUAAGCUCGCGUUGAUUACGUCCCUGCCCUUUGUACACACCGCCCGUCGCUACUACCGAUUGAACGGUUUAGUGAGGGCCUCGGAUUGGUCUCGGCCCGCUCUUUACCGGGCGGCGCCGUUGGUCGAGAAGACGCUCGAACUUGAUCGUUUAGAGGAAGUAAAAGUCGUAACA
rnacentral:rRNA from 1 species